rnacentral:rRNA from 1 species
GACAGAGGAGGCAAGCGUUGUUCGGAAUCAUUGGGCUUAAAGGGCGUGUAGGCGGCGGCGCAAGUGUCGAGUGAAAUCCCAUCGCUCAACGAUGGAACGGCUCGGCAAACUGCGUCGCUUGAGGUCGGUAGAGGUGCUCGGAACUCUAGGUGGAGCGGUGAAAUGCGUAGAUAUCUAGAGGAACGCCUGAGGCGAAAGCGGGGCACUGGGCCGAUACUGACGCUGAGACGCGAAAGCGUGGGGAGCGAACAGG